rnacentral:lncRNA from 1 species
CGGGGAGCACCCAGGGGGUCCCCCAGCGCAGCCGCGGAGCAAAGCCACCGGGGCGGCUCGCUGGGGCUGGCGGGGCGCGGAUGGCCCAUCGCGCCGCGUGGGUUGCGCUCUAACGGGAAACUGGGAUCCAUUGUGCAGAUCAUUGUCAGGGAGUCCUUUCUCCAUCUGAUGAAAACCUGCUAAGAAAUGAUCCUGCUCCUCGUACCUGUUCAAGUCCCCUGGCUGAAAAGAACUGACCUGGGAAUGCCCAAGGUAUGAGAAGAGCCGU